GUGGGGAUUCUUCCGCAAUGGACGAAAGUCUGACGGAGCAACGCCGCGUGAGUGAUGAAGGUCUUCGGAUUGUAAAGCUCUGUUAAUCGGGACGAAAGAGCCUAGUGUGAAUAAUGCUAGGAAGUGACGGUACCGGAAUAGAAAGCCACGGCUAACUACGUGCCAGCAGCCGCGGUAAUACGUAGGUGGCAAGCGUUGUCCGGAAUUAUUGGGCGUAAAGCGCGCGCAGGCGGAUCUGCCAGUCUGUCUUAAAAGUUCGGGGCUUAACCCCGUGAUGGGAUGGAAACUACAGAUCUAGAGUAUCGGAGAGGAAAGUGGAAUUCCUAGUGUAGCGGUGAAAUGCGUAGAUAUUAGGAAGAACACCAGUGGCGAAGGCGACUUUCUGGACGAAAACUGACGCUGAGGCGCGAAAGCCAGGGGAGCGAACGGGAUUAGAAACCCGUGUAGUCC
rnacentral:rRNA from 1 species